UACGUAGGGUGCAAGCGUUGUCCGGAAUUAUUGGGCGUAAAGAGCUCGUAGGCGGUUUGUCGCGUCUGCUGUGAAAACCGGAGGCUCAACCUCCGGCCUGCAGUGGGUACGGGCAAACUAGAGUGCGGUAGGGGAGAUUGGAAUUCCUGGUGUAGCGGUGGAAUGCGCAGAUAUCAGGAGGAACACCGAUGGCGAAGGCAGAUCUCUGGGCCGUAACUGACGCUGAGGAGCGAAAGCGUGGGGAGCAAACAGG
rnacentral:rRNA from 1 species